rnacentral:rRNA from 1 species
GACGUAGGGUGCAAGCGUUGUCCGGAUUUAUUGGGCGUAAAGAGCUCGUAGGCGGCUUGUUGCGUCGACUGUGAAAACCCGCGGCUUAACCGCGGGCUUGCAGUUGAUACGGGCAGGCUAGAGUUCGGUAGGGGAGACUGGAAUUCCUGGUGUAGCGGUGAAAUGCGUAGAUAUCAGGAGGAACACCGGUGGCGAAGGCGCCUAUCUGGCCCGAUACUGACGCUGAGGUGCGAAAGCGUGGGGAGCAAACAGG